rnacentral:lncRNA from 1 species
UCUCAGCUUGAAUAUGGGUUCACACGUGGCUGUUAGAUGAGAUGUGAACCGUGAAAUGCAGUUCAAUCUACCUAAGAAACCACGAACCCCCUUUUUUUUGUUCUCGGUUCAGGCACUUUCUUGUAUGGCUUUUUUUUUCUUUUUCUUUUUAAGUAGAAUCAACCUCGAUUCCUCUCUUACAAUGAACCCCAACAUCUUACCGGACCGCACUCUGAAAGUGCACUUAUUUGAAUUC